UGCUGAGGUCAAAGGUGGUUUCUAUGGACUCUAAGAUCCAGCGUUUCUUGACCAGUUGAAAUAGCAUCUUCUGGGUCAGAGAACUUGUGGAUCAUUUCAAGGGGAUCUAGAACCUUCUCUGCCCAGGACGUAGCUCAAUGUCCUAAGAAAGUACCAUGUAAUACCAUGAAUCUAUUAUCUCAGAUUUUGUUCUGUCCCUUCCCACUGUCACCACCUUCCCACCAUCCUCCAACCUGUCUGUCUUCAUCUGGAGCUACGUUCUCAAGGCCAGCAGUUUCGCUCCCUAAUUUACUCUGCUAGGAAGAGGAAGAGGAGACUUGAUUAAUAAAGCUUGGAAUAAUCAGAGACUAAUCUCAUCAAAGGACGGGCCAUAUGCGGACUGUGAACACAACACCGGCCACCUACUUGUGAGUGAUCUUGGAGACCUCCUUCAGCUCCUC